GCCGGGCAUGGUGGCGCAUGCCUGCACUCCCAGCUACUGGGAGGCUGAGGCAGGAGAAUCGCUUGAACCCAGGAGGCGGAUGUUGCAGUGAGCUGAGAUCACACCAUUGCACUCUAGCUUGGGUGACAGAGUGAGACCCUGUCUCAA
ensembl:misc_RNA Metazoa_SRP Metazoan signal recognition particle RNA